UACGGAGGGUGCAAGCGUUAUCCGGAUUCACUGGGUUUAAAGGGUGCGUAGGUGGGCAGUUAAGUCAGUGGUGAAAUCUCCGGGCUCAACCCGGAAACUGCCAUUGAUACUAUCAGUCUUGAAUAUCGUGGAGGUAAGCGGAAUAUGUCAUGUAGCGGUGAAAUGCUUAGAUAUGACAUAGAACACCAAUUGCGAAGGCAGCUUACUACCCGAAUAUUGACACUGAGGCACGAAAGCGUGGGGAUCAAACAGG
rnacentral:rRNA from 1 species